UACAGAGGUCUCAAGCGUUGUUCGGAUUCAUUGGGCGUAAAGGGCGCGCAGGCGGUCGUUCAAGUCGCGUGUGAAAGCCCCCCGGCUCAACUGGGGAGGGUCACGCGAUACUGAUCGACUCGAAGGCAGGAGAGGGAAGUGGAAUUCCCGGUGUAGUGGUGAAAUGCGUAGAUAUCGGGAGGAACACCAGUGGCGAAGGCGACUUCCUGGCCUGUUCUUGACGCUGAGGCGCGAAAGCUAGGGGAGCAAACGGG
rnacentral:rRNA from 1 species